rnacentral:rRNA from 1 species
UACAGAGGUGGCAAGCGUUGUUCGGAAUUACUGGGCGUAAAGGGCGCGUAGGCGGUUCGUUAAGUCCUGUGUGAAAUCCCCGGGCUCAACCCGGGAACUGCGUCCGAUACUGGAAGGCUUGAAUCCGGGAGAUGGAUGUGGAAUUCCAGGUGUAGCGGUGAAAUGCGUAGAUAUCUGGAGGAACACCGGUGGCGAAGGCGACAUCCUGGACCGGUAUUGACGCUGAGGCGCGAAAGCCAGGGGAGCAAACGGG